rnacentral:rRNA from 1 species
CGGUACGCGAGGAACCUGCCUUGGAGUGGGGAAUAACAGUUAGAAAUAGCUGCUAAUACCGCAUAAUGCAGCGAAGUCGCAUGGCUUUGCUGCCAAAGAUUUAUCGCUCUGAGAUGGCCUCGCGUCUGAUUAGAUAGUUGGCGGGGUAACGGCCCGCCAAGUCGACGAUCAGUAGCCGGACUGAGAGGUUGGCCGGCCACAUUGGGACUGAGACACGGCCCAGGCUCCUACGGAAGGCAGCAG